rnacentral:rRNA from 1 species
ACCAAGGAGUUUAUCGUGUGCGCGAGUCAUUGGGCGUUGAAAACCCAAAGGCGCAAUGAAAGUGAACGUUUCCAUAUCGGAGCCAACGUGCGAUCCUGGUCACCACGGUGGCUAGGCGCAGCAUGGCCCCAUCCCGACUGCUUGCAGUGGGGUGGAGGAAGAGCGUACGCGAUGAGACCCGAAAGAUGGUGAACUAUUCCUGAGCAGGACGAAGCCAGAGGAAACUCUGGUGGAAGUCCGAAGCGAUUCUGACGUGCAAAUCGAUCGUCUGACUUGGG